rnacentral:lncRNA from 1 species
UCAUCUUUAUUAUACCUAUUUCCUUUGAUGAUUAGUAUUGAUUUUAUGUGGAUAUAUGAUUGGACAAGAAAUGCUAAGCAAGAGAUUUUAUGCUUUGGUUCGCCAAUCAAGGUAAAGCCUUAAUUUCUUAUUUAAUUAUUUAAUUUUGAAAUAGAAAUGAUAGAAAAUUAGAUUUAAGAUUUGUUUAGAUAUUAGAGCU